rnacentral:miRNA from 1 species
UGAGAACUGAAUUUCAUUGGUUG